GUGACUGUGGUGUACCGGCAGUGCACGGCAGGCUGUGGCCCUGCAGGUCCCGGAUCGUCCCCGGGCAGUCACCCCA
rnacentral:tRNA from 1 species